rnacentral:rRNA from 1 species
CAGUCGCGCGGUAAUACGUAGGGCGCAAGCGUUAUCCGGAAUUAUUGGGCGUAAAGAGCUCGUAGGCGGUUUGUCGCGUCUGCCGUGAAAGUCCGGGGCUCAACCCCGGAUCUGCGGUGGGUACGGGCAGACUAGAGUGAUGUAGGGGAGACUGGAAUUCCUGGUGUAGCGGUGAAAUGCGCAGAUAUCAGGAGGAACACCGAUGGCGAAGGCAGGUCUCUGGGCAUUAACUGACGCUGAGGAGCGAAAGCAUGGGGAGCGAACAGGAUUAGAUACCCCUGUAGUCCCUGUCUCUUAUACA